rnacentral:rRNA from 1 species
CAAUAGCGUAUAUUUAAGUUGUUGCAGUUAAGAAGCUCGUAGUUGGAUUUUGGGUCGGGGGCACCGGUCCGCCGUUCCGGUGUGCACUGGUGGCCCCUUCCUUUCUGCCGGGGACGUGCGUCGCACUUAAUUGGGUGGCGUUCGGAGUCGGCGUUGUUACUUUGAAAAAAUUAGAGUGUUCAAAGCAAGCCAUCGCUCUGAAUACAUUAGCAUGGAAUAACAUGAUAGGACUCCGGUCUUAUUUUGUUGGUUUCCGAGACUGGAGUAAUGAUUAAGAGGGACAGUCGGGGGCAUCCGUAUUUCAUUGUCAGAGGUGAAAUUCUUGGAUUUAUGAAAGACGAACUUCUGCGAAAGCAUUUGCCAAGGAUGUUUUCAUUA